GGGCGGUUAGCUCAGUUGGUAGAGCGUCGUCUUUACACGGCGAAUGUCGGGAGUUCGAGACUCUCACCGCCCACCA
rnacentral:tRNA from 2 species